UGAUUUUUCCUCUAACAUUGCGCGACGAGAGUCGCGAGUAUGCAUGCAUAUAUGACUGAAUUUGAUUGAUGAUAAAAAUGUGUUAAAGGUUGGUGGUGGAGUAGGUAAAAGGGUAAGAGGAGAAGUUCUCAAAAGAAUCAAUAAAAGGGUGGUGGUGGUGGUGAUGCAUAUGAGAUUCCAAAGACAGGUGGUAUAGGCCCUUCAUAUACAGGUGGUGGUGGCGGCGAUGAAUAUACCGGUGGUGGAGGUGAGGGAUAUGCAUAUACUGGUGAUGGUGGGGGUGAGGUGUAUACCGGUGGUGGCGGUGAGGGAUAGGCAUAUACUGGUGAUGGUGGUGGUGAUGGGGAUGGUGGUGGGUGAUAAGGUGUUUGAUGUGGCGCUGGCGAUGAUGGUGGUGGAGGUUCUACACAAGGUGGCGGUGGAGGUGGUGGAGGUUCUACACAAGGUGGUGGAGAUGGCGGUGGUGGUGAAUAGACUGGUGGUGGAGGUGAGUGUACUGGAGGAGGUGGUGGGGGUGAUAAAUAUGGAUAUACGGGUGGAGGAGGUGAGUGAGGUGGUGGUGGUGGCGAA
rnacentral:lncRNA from 1 species